rnacentral:rRNA from 1 species
CCUACGGGUGGCAGCAGUGAGGAAUAUUGGUCAAUGGACGGGAGUCUGAACCAGCCAAGCAGCGUGAAGGAUGACGGCACUAUGUGUUGUAAACUUCUUUUGUACGGGAAUAAAGCCUGGGACUUGUAUCGGGUUGAGGGUACCUGAAGAAUAAGGAUCGGCUAACUCCGUGCCAGCAGCCGCGGUUAUACGGAGGAUCCGAGCGUUAUCCGGAUUUAUUGGGGUUAAAGGGUGCGUAGGUGGAUUGUUAAGUCAGCUGUGAAAUGUCGGGGCUCAACCCCGGAAUUGCCGUUGACACUGGCGGUCUUGAGUAUAGGAGAGGUACGCGGAAUGCGUGGUGUAGCGGUGAAAUGCUUAGAUAUCACGCAGAACCCCGAUUGCGAAGGCAGCGUACCGGCCUCAAACUGACGCUGAGGCACGAAAGCGUGGGUAUCAAACAGGAUUAGAUACCCCAGUAGUC